GCAGUUUAGUGGCAAUGUGGGAAGGGUGCCAUCCGCUAUUGCUUGCAAUGGCAAUUCUAGUUAUUAUUUUUAUUCUUCCACACAUUUUGUCCAUACUAUUUCUCAGAAUUGGUCAGACCAAUGUUGAUGGAUCUGUACCAUAAUAUGAACCGCCAUGUUAAGUUGUGCAAGAGACAUUGGAAUGGUAAAAAAAUGGCCGCCGUUACCAUGGAAACUGAACAAUUGUGAAAAAAUCCAGUUUUUCGUUUUGGUGAACUGUUUGGAUAUGCUUUAACUCAGAAUCAUUAUAUUUUAAUACAAUGUAGGUGCCCACUAUAUACAGGUGUUGGAUGAUUUUGGCACUCAUUGGAACUACUAUGUUGCCAUGGAAACUACUCCAAAAAAAUUUCAAAAAUCUCAAAAUGUUCCAAACUUAAUGAAACUUCACAGUAACGAUGAGCAACAUUGGAAGAUGUGGAAUUUGGCGUUGGAAUUUCCAAAAUCGCUGUUGUUACCAUGGAAACAAUGCAAAAAGGUCAACACUUUGAAUUUUCACAGAACAUUCUAGAACAUCAAUGUUUAAUUUAUUCUAGAGACAUUAAAUGGUAUAUGAUUGUAUAUGAUUAUGGAGGGAAAGAAGUUGGAAUUUUCAAAAUGGCCGCCGUAACCAUGGAAACAGCAAAAAUGUCCAAAAUUUCAAAAUGCUUCAAACUUAAUGAAACUUAACAAAAAUGAUAUUUUGAAUGUGUAGAAUCAUUCUUUGACUUUGGAACUUUCUAAAUUGCUGCCGCUCGCCUGGCAAUGGGGGAAGGGUGCCAUCCGCUAUUGCUUGCAAUGCAAUCUAGGCAUAUUGUUAUUCUAGUUUCAUUAUGUCACCCGAUCGACAAUGUCGGGUGACAUAUUGCUUUUCUUAUGUUUCUUUGUUAUUAUUAUUAUUCUUCCACCUUUUUUUGUCCGACAGGUUUUUUGGAGUAAAAUGGAACCAAUCUUAAUGAUAAUUCACUAUAAGGAGGAACACAAAAUUUCGGGUUGCAGUAGGGUCUAAGACCAUAAAAAAUGGCUGCCGUUUCCAUGGAAACGGAACAAUUGUGAAAAAUUCCAGUUUUUGGUUUUGUGAAUAAUUUAGAGAUGCUUAAACUCAGAAUCAUCAUAUUUUAUCACAAUGUAGGUGCCAGCCAUAUAUUGGUUUUGGAUGAUAUUGGCAAUCAUUGGAACCACUAUGUUGCCAUGGAAACUACCCCAAAAAUUUCAAAAAUUUCAAAAUGCUCCAAAUUUUUUGAAACUUCAUAGUAACGAUGAGCAACUUUGGUAGAUGCGUAAUUUGGCGUUGGAAUUUCCAAAAUGUCUGCCGUUACCAUGGAAACAGUGCAUAAGUGUCAAAAUGCUCUAAAAACCUCAGGGUUUGGUAAAUAAUUUUGGUAUGCUAGAACUUGAAAUCAUCAAAUUUUUACACAAUAUAGUUGUCCACUAUAUACAGCUUUUGAAUGAUUUUGACAAUCAUUGGAACUCUUCUGUUACCAUGGAUACAGGACCAAAUAUUUCAAAAAUUUCAAAAUGCUCCUAAAUUGAUCAAACUUAAUAUGAUUGUUGACUGGCAAGUCUGGAUGAGACUUUUGACUUUGGAAUUUCCAAAAUGGCCACCGUUGCCAUGGAAACUGCAAAAAAGUCAAAAAUUCUCAAAAUGCUUUGAACUUAAUGAAACUUGAUAUUAUUGUUAACUGGCAAGUAAAGAUGAGACUUUUGACUUUGAAAUUUUCAAAAUGGCUGCCGUUGCCAUGGAAACAGCAGAAAUGUGAAAUUUUUUUAAAAUGCUCUCAAUGUACUGAAAAUUUACAGAAAGAUGUAUUGCCAUGCAUAUAUGUGCAUUCACUGUUAAACAAUUUUGAAAUGGCUGCCGCUUAGUGGCAAUUGGGGGAAGGGUGACAUCCGCUAUUGCUUGCAAUGGCAAUUCUAGUUAUGGCACCCUCAACGGAGUUGGGGUGACGUAUUGUUAUUCUUCGUUUCUUUUUUUUCUUAUUAUGGCACCCUCAACGGAGUUGGGGUGACAUACUGUUAUUCUACGUUUCUUUUUUUUCUUAUUAUUUUUCUUGCACAAAUUUUGUCCGCGCGAGUUCUUGGAAUCCAAUGGACCAAUGUUGAUGGAACUCUUCUAUAAUGAGGACCCCCAUGUGAAGUUGUGCACCUUGCUAUGGAAUGGUAAAAAAUGGCCGCCAUUUCCAUGGAAACAGCACAAAUGCGAAAAAAUC
rnacentral:lncRNA from 1 species